ensembl:lncRNA
GCAGGUCCCCGGUCCAGGCGCAGUCCAGAGGCAGAUCUAGGUGCAGAUCUAGGUGCAGAUCUAGGUGCAGAUCUAGGUGUAGAUCUAGGUGCAGUUCUAGGUGCAGUUCUAGGUGCAGUUCUAGGUGCAGUUCUAGGUGCAGAUCUAGGUGCAGAUCUAGGUCCAGAUCUAGGUGCAGAUCUAGGUGCAGAUCUAGGUGCAGAUCUAGGUGCAGAUCUAGGUGCAGAUAAACGGGCCAAACGGAGGAUCCUCAGCCAAUGACGUCCUUUCCUUUCGUCUCCAGAUCAAGGUCCCACCCACGCCACAGACGGAGCUCCGCCCGUCGCCACGGCGACCGCUCCCAUCACCACGGCUACAAGCGGUCCCGUUCCCCGACGCCGCCCUCGUCCUCCCCGUCCCGCCGCCGGAGGAGCCCCCGGACGCGGUCCAGGUCCCGCUCUCGGUCCCGGGGGUCCCGGCGGAAGGCAACGC